GAGUUUGAUCCUGGCUCAGGACGAACGCUGGCGGCGUGCCUAACACAUGCAAGUCGAACGGACGAGGAGGAGCUUGCUUCUCCAAGUCAGUGGCGGACGGGUGAGUAACGCGUGAGUAACCUGCCCUUCAGAGGGGGAUAACGUCUGGAAACGGACGGUAAUACCGCAUAACGUACAAAGGCCGCAUGACCAUUGUACCAAAACUGAGGUGCUGAAGGAUGGGCUCGCGUUGGAUUAGAUAGUUGGUGGGGUAACGGCCUACCAAGUCGACGAUCCAUAGCCGGACUGAGAGGUUGAACGGCCACAUUGGGACUGAGACACGGCCCAGACUCCUACGGGAGGCAGCAGUGGGGAAUAUUGCACAAUGGGGGAAACCCUGAUGCAGCAACGCCGCGUGAAGGAAGACGGUUUUCGGAUUGUAAACUUCUGUUCUUAGUGAAGAUAGUGACGGUAGCUAAGGAGCAAGCCACGGCUAACUACGUGCCAGCAGCCGCGGUAAUAC
rnacentral:rRNA from 1 species